AGGAGGGGGUUGUUGUACUUGAAACUUGAAAAUCAUUCUUCAAACUUGAUCAUGUUCUCAUCAUCUCUAUGCCAGCCAUCAUCACGGGUCUUUCAUUCUUAUCUUAUUUGUUUUAAUGAUGUUACCUGUGCAAAAAUAAGCAAAAUUCAGUAAAUAGUGGACAGUCCAUCUUUAUGUGCGCCCGUGUAUAAUAGUUGGCAUUUCAAAAUGUGAAUAGAAUUCCUUAUAUCUUGUGUGCUUGUGUGAAU
rnacentral:misc_RNA from 1 species